GGGGCGCAGCAGGCGCGAAAACUUUACAAUGCGGGAAACCGUGAUAAGGGGACACCGAGUGCCAGCAUCAUAUGCUGGCUGUCCAGGUGUGUAAAAUACACCUGUCAGCAAGGGCCGGGCAAGACCGGUGCCAGCCGCCGCGGUAACACCGGCGGCCCGAGUGGUGAUCGUGAUUAUUGGGUCUAAAGGGUCCGUAGCCGGUUUGGUCAGUCCUCCGGGAAAUCUGACGGCUCAACCGUUAGGCUUUCGGGGGAUACUGCCAGGCUUGGAACCGGGAGAGGUAAGAGGUACUACAGGGGUAGGAGUGAAAUCUUGUAAUCCCUGUGAGACCACCUGUGGCGAAGGCGUCUUACCAGAACGGGUUCGACGGUGAGGGACGAAAGCUGGGGGCACGAACCGGAUUAGAUACCCGGGUAGUCCCAGCCGUAAACGAUGCUCGCUAGGUGUCAGGCAUGGCGCGACCGUGUCUGGUGCCGCAGGGAAGCCGUGAAGCGAGCCACCUGGGAAGUACGGCCGCAAGGCUGAAACUUAAAGGAAUUGGCGGGGGAGCAC
rnacentral:rRNA from 1 species